rnacentral:rRNA from 1 species
AGCCCGCUCGCCGGAAGACCAAGGGUUCCUGUCCAACGUUAAUCGGGGCAGGGUGAGUCGACCCCUAAGGCGAGGCCGAAAGGCGUAGUCGAUGGGAAACAGGUUAAUAUUCCUGUACUUGGUGUUACUGCGAAGGGGGGACGGAGAAGGCUAUGUUGGCCGGGCGACGGUUGUCCCGGUUUAAGCGUGUAGGCUGGUUUUCCAGGCAAAUCCGGAAAACCAAGGCUGAGGCGUGAUGACGAGGCACUACGGUGCUGAAGCGACAAAUGCCCUGCUUCCAGGAAAAGCCUCUAAGCAUCAGGUAACAUCAAAUCGUACCCCAAACCGACACAGGUGGUCAGGUAGAGAAUACCAAGGCGCUUGAGAGAACUCGGGUGAAGGAACUAGGCAAAAUGGUGCCGUAACUUCGGGAGAAGGCACGCUGAUAUGUAGGUGAAGCGACUUGCUCGUGGAGCUGAAAUCAGUCGAAGAUACCAGCUGGCUGCAACUGUUUAUUAAAAACACAGCACUGUGCAAACACGAAAGUGGACGUAUACGGUGUGACGCCUGCCCGGUGCCGGAAGGUUAAUUGAUGGGGUUAGCGGUAACGCGAAGCUCUUGAUCGAAGCCCCGGUAAACGGCGGCCGUAACUAUAACGGUCCUAAGGUAGCGAAAUUCCUUGUCGGGUAAGUUCCGACCUGCACGAAUGGCGUAAUGAUGGCCAGGCUGUCUCCACCCGAGACUCAGUGAAAUUGAACUCGCUGUGAAGAUGCAGUGUACCCGCGGCAAGACGGAAAGACCCCGUGAACCUUUACUAUAGCUUGACACUGAACAUUGAGCCUUGAUGUGUAGGAUAGGUGGGAGGCUUUGAAGUGUGGACGCCAGUCUGCAUGGAGCCGACCUUGAAAUACCACCCUUUAAUGUUUGAUGUUCUAACGUUGGCCCGUAAUCCGGGUUGCGGACAGUGUCUGGUGGGUAGUUUGACUGGGGCGGUCUCCUCCUAAAGAGUAACGGAGGAGCACGAAGGUUGGCUAAUCCUGGUCGGACAUCAGGAGGUUAGUGCAAUGGCAUAAGCCAGCUUGACUGCGAGCGUGACGGCGCGAGCAGGUGCGAAAGCAGGUCAUAGUGAUCCGGUGGUUCUGAAUGGAAGGGCCAUCGCUCAACGGAUAAAAGGUACUCCGGGGAUAACAGGCUGAUACCGCCCAAGAGUUCAUAUCGACGGCGGUGUUUGGCACCUCGAUGUCGGCUCAUCACAUCCUGGGGCUGAAGUAGGUCCCAAGGGUAUGGCUGUUCGCCAUUUAAAGUGGUACGCGAGCUGGGUUUAGAACGUCGUGAGACAGUUCGGUCCCUAUCUGCCGUGGGCGCUGGAGAACUGAGGGGGGCUGCUCCUAGUACGAGAGGACCGGAGUGGACGCAUCACUGGUGUUCGGGUUGUCAUGCCAAUGGCACUGCCCGGUAGCUAAAUGCGGAAGAGAUAAGUGCUGAAAGCAUCUAAGCACGAAACUUGCCCCGAGAUGAGUUCUCCCUGACUCCUUGAGAGUCCUGAAGGAACGUUGAAGACGACGACGUUGAUAGGCCGGGUGUGUAAGCGCAGCGAUGCGUUGAGCUAACCGGUACUAAUGAACCGUGAGGCUUAACC